CGGAACGGAACCACCGGGCCGCAGCGACCACAGGGGAGUUCUUCGCCGGCCGCAGGUUCAAAGCUAUCUGCAAUGAGCACCUUUAGGAAUUCAUUCGAAGGCGCAAAAGAAAAAGAAAUUAAGGCAGGAACUGAGCGAGGAAGGAAGGGAGGGAAAGAAAGAAAGGAAGAAAGAGAAAAAGAGAAAGAAACAGAAAGAACAGGCAGAAGCUGAAAGGGUCAUGGGAGGAGGCUGCUGGUUCCAGUGAAUGGCGCUGACCCCACUGAGACCAACACCUUGCUGGAGGCCUCAAACACUGAAAGAAAGACAUGCAAAGGAAAUAAUUCAGGACCAACUGGUGGGCUCCAAAAAGCUCUUCUAUGAGGAAGGUGAAUGCAGGCUCUGCUACGUCCUGCCUGUGAAAGAAUCCCUUCAGGAAACCAGAGCUUCCCUCGUUUACCUUUUCUCCUACAAAGGGAAGCAGCCUGGAAGAAAGAGUCCAGUACUUGACCCAUGCCCCAACAAACUCUGCUAUCAAUAUGGUGCAGCUUACCAAAGGUCCUAGAACUUUGUCAACGCACUUGGAGUAAUUUUUAUGAAAUAUUGUGUGUGAUAAGCAAACUGUGGAAAUUUAUAUAAGAUGUUGGUGGCAUAGAGUUAUACGAUUGUGUAUUAAGGGUAGUUCUGGGAUGUCAUUUUUUUUUCAGUUCAUCAUGACAGAAGUCCUUUUCAUGAGAGAAGUCACAUGAGAAAAAACUUUCUUAUAUUGUAAGCUCCUUCUAUAGUGGUAUGUGCAUUUAAUGACAUCCAACUACAGAUGGUGUAAUACCACGGUGGUUUGACUUAGAGUUUUUUAACUUUAUAACUGGUUUAUCUGGGUAUUACAUGCGUUUUAAAUGUGGAUCUUUUCAACUUACGAUGAGAUUAUCAAGACAUAGCCCCAUGCUAACUCAUGAGCAUGUGGACUUAUAAUGGUUCAAUUUAGAUUUUUCGGCUUUAAGAUAGGAUUAUUGGGGCUUACCCCCAUCUUAAGUAGAGAAACAUCUGUAUUGUGUAAUACUAUAUGAUGUACAUCUUUCUGUUUUCCUAUUUUUGUGCAUGUUGAUGUAAGCAUGGAAAAAUUUUAGGAAAUGUAUUUAUUAGGCUGUUUACAUGGGCUGCCUGGUGCAAAUCAGCAGUCAAAAAUGACUAGAUACACAACUAGCAAUGGGAGGAGAAAUCCUCUCUCUGUGGGAGGCACUGACUACAUUCCAGUUCUCCCUCCUACGCCCUGAGACUGGACCAGGGUUUGAUGUCUGGCAACUUCUCAAGGGGCCGGUCUGUCUUAGUUGAUGAUUUUAGAGGUAUAUAGAGGUAUUUAUUUACAAAUAAACAAAUAUUUAUAUAUAUUUAUAAAUAAACAAAUAUUUAUUUAUAAGUAGAUGUUUACAUAUGCCCAGGAUUUUGAAAAGCCUGGUAUCUUUGGGAAGCCAUGUGUCUGAUUUGUCCUGCUGGGACAGUCAUGGGACUGCAUCUUCGUCCUUGUCCACAGCAGAUGAGGACAGUGAGAAUUAGGUUAGAUCUGGGACUACAAAUAGCUUCUCUUUCAAGCGCCAUUACAGCUGAACAUUAGUGAAUCUUGGGCCUUCUUUGGGCUCAGGGCAGAGCAGGUGUUUAUCUGCCCCAGCAUCUGCCAUGGCAUCAAGAGGGAAGAGUGGACGGUGCUUGGGAAUGGUGUGAAAUGAUUGCUGACUCAGGAGUGGAUGGGCCCCUCUCGCUUCUGGUGGUCUGUGACCCUGAGCCCCUGAGCUGCAUUUUACGGUAAAGAUUCCUGAGCUGCAGCAUCUGACUCAUCUCAGAAAUAUCAAUUCUUAAACACUGUGACAACAGGACCUAGAAUGGCUGACACAUUAAGGCUUUGUCCUUGUGUCAUGCUCUAUUAUUUUAUUUAAAAACUUCAGUAAUCAUUUUAGCCUCUUUCCAGCAAACUCUUCUCCAUAGUAGUCCAGUAGUGGUAGGAUAAAUUAUGGAUGUAGUCGUUCAAGGGAUUUUGGUCUUUUCCAUCUCAAGCCAUGUGUGUUGUCUUGUUCCGGGACUGGUUUGGCUGGGACAAAGUUAGAAUUGCCUGAAGAUUUAGGCACAUUCAGUGUUGUGUCCAUGGAGUUUUAGGAGGGGGUGGCCUUUCUGGUCUUUGCACUUCCAUCCUCUCCCACUUCCAUCUGGCAUCCCAUGGGUUGUCCCCUGCACGUCUGGAAGGCACAGGGUGCUGCUGCCUCCUGGUCUUUGCUUUUGCAGGGCCUUCUGUGCAGGACACUUGGCCUCAAAGCCCAGAGGGAGCCAGUCCAGCCCCAGCUCCCUUGUGCCUUCCAUAGAGGCCUUCCUUGAAGAUGCAUCUAGAGCGUCAGCCUUGUCAGUGUUUGUUAAGCUUAUUCUUUUAAAGUAAGCUUCCGGACAACAUGAAAUUGUUGGGGUUUUCUGGAGUUGUUUGGUUUGUAUGGGAUUUGCUUUAUCCCCAGGCCAAACAGCACAUGACACACGACAGCCACUUAAGACAGUGUGUGACUCGUGGUUAGAGUCCUUUGAUGUUUCUGCCCUAUGGACCCUAUUUGAAGACUAUGUUGUAAUAUCAAACAAUACAAGGAAGCACGUUAUACAGAAAAUGCUCAUAUGUUUAUGAAUUUUGACCAAAAUAAAUAUGAAAUCUUAUAUU
rnacentral:antisense_RNA from 1 species